rnacentral:rRNA from 1 species
AUGGAUCUUGGUGAAAUCGUAGGAAAAAUUUUAAUUUUCUGCAACGUUCCCCAACACAUCUUUCAGAAGCCUGAACCUAACAUGAGUCAGCUGCUCAGUAUGAUGAAGCCAUUACCCCAAGAUGCUGCAUAUCCCAAAGAGUUCUUCGUUGAAGACCUAGAAUAUCUGUCAAGGACUAUUUAUCACAUCAUAAGGCGAACUCUCUGGCCCAUCAAAGGGCACUCUCCACAUGCCAAGCUGGAAGGUGCAAUGAAGACUUUGGUUUUCUAUAUUCUUCAUGGAAAAUGCUUCAAUGCACAAGACUUCUUCAUUCGCCAACUUGCUGCAUCAGGCUCUGAUCUAUUUGGCUUCAAGUUCUACGCCCCAUGGGUAAUGCGGCUGAUCAAACUUCACUCCGCUAUCUCAUAUCAGCCAUCUGCUCGCAAUCAUCGGAUUUUUCUGCCUGAUGUGGAUAUGUCUAUUGAAGCCAUCUAUCCUGAGCCUGCCAAGGAACCUCUAAGUCUUCAGAAUGCAGAGCAUCAAAAUUUUUUUGAGAACAUUGAAGGAGUUGAAGCAGUCACUCGUGUGUAUCCUUUGGCUGGCACUACACAUGCACCACAUCCUGCCCUCACUGAAGCCACUGACAGUACAACUGCCCCACGACCCAAGAAGCGCACUCGUGUUCUCAAUGACCGAGAGCUUCUUGUGGCUCUUCAUCAGAAAUAG